UAAUACGGGGGGGGCAAGCGUUGUUCGGAAUUACUGGGCGUAAAGGGCUCGUAGGCGGCCAACUAAGUCGGACGUGAAAUCCCUCGGCUCAACCGGGGAACUGCGUCCGAUACUGGAUGGCUUGAAUCCGGGAGAGGGAUGCGGAAUUCCAGGUGUAGCGGUGAAAUGCGUAGAUAUCUGGAGGAACACCGGUGGCGAAGGCGGCAUCCUGGACCGGUAUUGACGCUGAGGAGCGAAAGCCAGGGUAGCAAACGGG
rnacentral:rRNA from 1 species